CGUCCGUAGCUCAGCUGGAUAGAGUACCUGGCUACGAACCAGGCGGUCAGAGGUUCGAAUCCUCUCGGACGCGCCA
rnacentral:tRNA from 2 species